UGUAAGCGUAUACCAAAGUUGUUGCAGUUAAAACGCUCGUAGUCGGAUUUUGGCGGUUCCGGAAGUGUGCCGCGUCGUGCGGCCGCUUUGCAGGGACCGCUUUUGUGGGUGUGCGUCAGAUGAGGGCUGUUAAUUCGGUAACGUCUGUACGCAACCACUUUUUACUGUGAGAAAAUCAGAGUGCUCAAAGCAGGCAUUUGCCGUGAAUGUAUUAGCAUGGAAUAAUAGAAUAGGACUUAGUCUUAUUUUGUUGGUUUGUUAGGACCGAGUAAUGAUUAAGAGGGACAGUUGGGGGCAUUUGUAUUUCGGCGCUAGAGGUGAAAUUCUUAGAUUGCCGAAAGACAAACUGCUGCGAAAGCGUCUGCCAAGGAUGUUUUCAUUGA
rnacentral:rRNA from 1 species